rnacentral:rRNA from 1 species
UCGACGAAGCAAUUUAACGGAAGUUUUCGGAUGGAAGUUGAAUUGACUGAGUGGCGGACGGGUGAGUAACGCGUGGGUAACCUGCCUUGUACUGGGGGACAACAGUUAGAAAUGACUGCUAAUACCGCAUAAGCGCACAGUAUCGCAUGAUACAGUGUGAAAAACUCCGGUGGUACAAGAUGGACCCGCGUCUGAUUAGCUAGUUGGUAAGGUAACGGCUUACCAAGGCGACGAUCAGUAGCCGACCUGAGAGGGUGACCGGCCACAUUGGGACUGAGACACGGCCCAAACUCCUACGGGAGGCAGCAGUGGGGAAUAUUGCACAAUGGGCGAAAGCCUGAUGCAGCGACGCCGCGUGAGUGAAGAAGUAUUUCGGUAUGUAAAGCUCUAUCAGCAGGGAAGAAAAUGACGGUACCUGACUAAGAAGCCCCGGCUAACUACGUGCCAGCAGCCGCGGUAAUACGUAGGGGGCAAGCGUUAUCCGGAUUUACUGGGUGUAAAGGGAGCGUAGACGGUAAAGCAAGUCUGAAGUGAAAGCCCGCGGCUCAACUGCGGGACUGCUUUGGAAACUGUUUAACUGGAGUGUCGGAGAGGUAAGUGGAAUUCCUAGUGUAGCGGUGAAAUGCGUAGAUAUUAGGAGGAACACCAGUGGCGAAGGCGACUUACUGGACGAUAACUGACGUUGAGGCUCGAAAGCGUGNGGAGCAAACAGGAUUAGAUACCNUGGUAGUCC